UUUCUUUCUUUUGGAAUCUGACGAUACCCGUUAGCAGCAUUAGCAGCACCUGUGAGUGUAUCAUGUGACAGCAAAAACGUGAAAGGUGGAGCAGUAUGUCCUGCAUGUCCCUCAUGACUAAACAUGGAGCGUCUACCCCAGGUCAUGCAAUGAAAAAUGUAAAAUGUCAAGCCAAU